rnacentral:rRNA from 1 species
UACGUAGGGACCGAGCGUUGUCCGGAUUCAUUGGGCGUAAAGAGCUCGUAGGCGGUUCGGUAAGUCAGGUGUGAAAACUCCAGGCUCAACUUGGAGACGCCACCUGAUACUGUCGUGACUAGAGUCCGGUAGGGGAGCAUGGAAUUCCUGGUGUAGCGGUGAAAUGCGCAGAUAUCAGGAGGAACACCAGCGGCGAAGGCGGUGCUCUGGGCCGGAACUGACGCUGAGGAGCGAAAGCGUGGGGAGCGAACAGG